GCCAACUCUAGCCCAAAUUAAUCUUAAUACACAUAUAAACUCUAAUAAACUAAAACAUUUUAACGCUAACCCCUAGUAUAGGAGAUAGAAAAGGAAAUUGGAGCCUUAGACAUAGUACUGUGAAGGAAAAAUGAAAGAUUAGCUUAAAGCACAAAAAAGCCAGGAUUUAACCCUGUACCUUUUGCAUAAUGGUUUAGCUAGAAAACUUAUAUACAAAGAAUUUUAAUAUAAAAUCCCGAAACUAGAUGAGCUACUAUCGAGCAAUUUAUUAGAAUCAACCCGUCUAUGUUGCAAAAUAGUGGGAUGACUUUAUAGUAGAGGUGAAAAAUCAACCGGACCUAGUGAUAGCUGGUUAGCCAAAAAACGAAUUUAAGUUCAACAAUAAGUUUAUUUCCUGAUAUACUAUAUUAACCAUAAACUUAUAAGUUAUUCAUAAGAGGGUCAGCCCUUAUGAAUAAGGAAACAACCUCUAAUAGAGGGAAAUUUAUUCUUAUUUACAUAGUAGGCCUAAAAGCAGCCAUCAAUUAAAAAAGCGUUAAAGCUUAAACUUCAUUCUUUCUUAAUCCCUUAACUUCUUAACUACCCCUAAAAUAAUAUUGGCUUAAUCUAUGUCCCCAUAGAAGAAAUAAUGCUAAAAUAAGUAAACCAGAAUUUAUUCUCCAUGCACUAGCUUAAAUUAGAACGGAGCAUCCACUAAUAAUUAACAGCUAAAUAAUCAUAAAUAUUAACUAGAAACAUUAUUUUAUAAACUGUUAACCCGACACAGGAGUGCAUCUAAGGAAAGAUUAAAAGGAGUAAAAGGAACUCGGCAAACUAGGAUUUCGCCUGUUUACCAAAAACAUCGCCUCUAGCAUAACAAGUAUUAGAGGUCCUGCCUGCCCAGUGAUUCUAUUAAACGGCCGCGGUAUCCUGACCGUGCAAAGGUAGCAUAAUCAUUUGUCUCCUAAUUAGAGACUAGUAUGAAUGGCUAGACGAAAAUCCAACUGUCUCUUACUCCCAAUCAGUGAAAUUGCCCUCCCCGUGCAGAGACGGGGAUAACACCAUAAGACGAGAAGACCCUGUGGAGCUUUAAUCAUAGAUUUAUUCUUUUUCAUACAGACCCAAAAGCUCAACACCUUAAGAAUUUUUUCAACUGAUUUUGGUUGGGGUGACCUCGGAGUACAACAAAACCUCUGAAUGCAUAGUAAUAACUUACAAGUUUAAACGCAAAACUGCCAGUAAUAGACCCAAAUUAUUGAUCAAAGGACCAAGUUACCCCAGGGAUAACAGCGCAAUCCUAUUCAAGAGUUCAUAUCGACAAUAGGGUUUACGACCUCGAUGUUGGAUCAGGACAUCCAAAUGGUGCAGCCGCUAUUAAUGGUUCGUUUGUUCAACGAUUAAAGUCCUACGUGAUCUGAGUUCAGACCGGAGUAAUCCAGGUCGGUUUCUAUCUAUGGGUAAUUUCUCCUAGUACGGAAAGGACCAGAGAAAUCAGGCCAAUCUUAAAAAGAAGCCUCCAACUUAACAAAUGAUUUCAUCUCAAUUUGCCACGUUACCCUUACUAAUCCUAGACCAGGAAUUCU
rnacentral:rRNA from 1 species